CAUUGAGAAACAGUAUAACGGGGCUAGCUACGAGCCUCCACAGCGAUCUCACUGUCACAGCCGUCGGAUCAUCAAACAUACGGUGUAGAUCAAAGUCGAGCGUCCCUACUCGCCCGCGCACAUCGCACGCCGUCUCGCGGGCCGCUGCUCCGCGGAAUGACCUCCUCUUCCUUUAGUAAUCGGGCCGUCAAGGCCCACUUAUUCCCAGUCGGACGCUAACAGCCUAGGUCACCCUCGAACGAACAGCUUCUCCGUGUCGCUGUCCUUCCUCCUCACGAUGCGCUGGCAUUCCUCCCUCCUCGAUGCACCGUCGAUCCGCCGUGUUCGUGUAUUUAUUUACUUAAUGGUGGCUGCGGCGGCCGCCCCGCCGUGGGCUUUCACCGCCGGCUGUCGCUGGAGGCAAACUACCUAGAUGGUUUCGCGGUGGCGAUGGAGGCGCUAGAUACCUGCUUUCUCGUGUGCCUUCUUGUCGCCUCUGCUCUUCCAAUGAUGCGGAUCCAGGAACAGAGUCCAACCCUCUCCCCUUCUAAUUCUUCCUUCGUGUUCUGCACUUCUUCUGCUUGCUCUUUGACAAACAUCAAAUUAUGUUUUUAUGUCUCAAUGUGUUCGGUUUCAAUUCCCAUGUGAGAAGAUCCUUCUGAGGAAGGCCAGGAAUUGGUACUGAAAUUCUGAAUAUGCAUAGGUACAAAGAACCUUGAAUCUGUCCAGGUGAGCAUGACAUUGAUUCCAGUUCUUGUGAUAUUUGUGUCUAACUUAAUUCAUCUUGGCACCGGUUCAAAAUAAAUAAAUUCAUCUUGGCAUGAUUAUUAUGUGGUUCAAGUGCUAAUCAAGUGAGCUGAGCAUUUAGUUUCUUCGUUGUGCCAUGCUAUUAGGAAUAACAUGUUAUUUUAUCCACCGGUCUCUGAUAAAUGAGAAGUUCAUUCUUUGUUUACACUUGUGACUAAAACACAUUUGGUUUCCUAUUGUAAUUUCUUUUUUCAGAUUUUGGUGUGUUAUUCUUGAAUAUAUUAUGCGCACGAAUUAUUUCUGGAAAUAUUUCCCCCUUUCUCUAGAGUCCAUAUUCACUAUUAAUUUCUGAAAGUCAAUUUUCAUGUUGUUGAGCCCACAAUGCUCCUAAAAGUAUUACAUGCACGUGGAGCGCAGGGUGAGUGCUCAUGUUAGCAAUCUUGUGUUCCUUUUUCAAGAUUUAGGAUUUAGUUUGGUUAAGAAAGCUUGUCGUUGCACUGUAUUAACAUUGCUUGAUCUAUGGUUUUUAAGCUUUUGAGCCCUAGAUCCUCUCUUUGGCAAGUAUUGCAGGCAACCGGUGAAGCCGAAGCCAUUUAUGAAUGCAAGGCAGACAAACUAUUAAAUGCCAUGAAAUUGUAAAGGUAUCUUUCUAUUCCUAGAAUGAUUUGACAAGGCCCAUGUCGACGAUCUAUGCACCAUCACCUACGGCCAGGUUGUCUAAGAAAAACAGUCCAUUAGUUGUGAGAUCUCUUACUGCUAAAAUCAGUGGUCGGCGUGGCAUGAAUAAAAUCCGUAGCAUGACAUUUGGAUCUGACGUUUUUAUGUGUACCUGACACACCUUGAGGAUUAAAGCUGCACUUGAGUCAAUUCGAAUAUUGUAUAGUUGAUCUCUUUAUUGGGAGUUAGAUCCAAAAAAGCUAAGUUAUAUGUGAUAAAAUUCAACUUAUUGUCCGUCUAUAUCAUGGUUUGUAAUUUGUUACGGUGUCAGGGCACAGCUGAGACGCACCUGGCCUGUAGAGCUUAACACUUUGAACAGUUCUCUUGAAAAUAUCUCAAACAUAUAUUUGGACCCAUACAAAUUAUUCAAUUUUUCUCAAACACUGCUUGGAUUUUUCAAAAAUAGUCUUAAGUAUUUGUUGUCAAUAUGAGCGGGCGCGGCAAAGCGCGCCUUCAUGUUCUAGUAUAACACUAUAUCGUCAACGAAUGUUAAGCGUGCGGACCCUACAGGUUCGAGAACUAUGUAGACAUGAUCGAGACAC